ACUGAACCUUUGCUAAAAAUGCCACUUAAUUUUAGUGGCUUUAUAUAUCCGGUAGCAGACUCGUUCGCGGACUGUAAUGUUUGUCCACAUCCCCGGCAAAACUUGGUAAAACUCAUGGUAGAAAUUUAGUUUUAUUAAACCCGUUUGGUUUUGUUGUAAUAAAUCGGCAACAAAAAUUUAGAAUAUCGCUGAAGUAAAGAUGUUUAAGGUCUGAUAGGAUAGAGAAAAAGCUUCAAAAGCUGUUAUUAUUUAC